GACGAACGCUGGCGGCGUGCCUAAUACAUGCAAGUAGAAGCUAGUUGCGAACGGGUGAGUAACGCGUAGGAACCUGCCUCAUAGCGGGGGAUAACUAUUGGAAACGAUAGCUAAUACCGCAUACUGUGAGAUGGACCUGCGUUGUAUUAGCUAGUUGGUGAGGUAAAGGCUAACCAAGGCGACGAUCCGUAGCUGGUGUGAGAGGACGACCAGCCACACGGGGACUGAGACACGUCCCAGACUCCUACGGGAGGCAGCAGUGGGUAAUUUUGGACAAUGGGGGAAACCCUGAUCCAGCCAUCCCGCGUGUGCGAUGAAGGCCUUCGGGUUGUAAAGCACUUUUGGCGGGAAGGCGGUACCUGCAGAAUAAGCACCGGCUAACUACGUGCCAGCAGCCGCGGUAAUUC
rnacentral:rRNA from 1 species